UUUCCGUAGGUGAACCUGCGGAAGGAUCAUUACCGAGUUAGGGUCUUCUUAGGCCCGACCUCCCAACCCUGUGUUUAUUUAACCGAUGUUGCUUCGGCGGGCCCGUCUCACGACCGCCGGAGGACCGUGAGACGUCCUCUGGCCCGCGCCCGCCGGUGGCCAAACUUGACAAACUCUGAUUAAACGUGUCACUGUCUGAGUACCAAUUUUAAUUAAAGCAAAACUUUCAACAACGGAUCUCUUGGUUCUGGCAUCGAUGAAGAACGCAGC
rnacentral:misc_RNA from 1 species